rnacentral:rRNA from 1 species
UACGGGGGGGGCAAGCGUUGUUCGGAAUUACUGGGCGUAAAGGGCUCGUAGGCGGCCAACUAAGUCAGACGUGAAAUCCCUCGGCUUAACCGGGGAACUGCAUCUGAUACUGGAUGGCUUGAGAUUGGGAGAGGGAUGCGGAAUUCCAGGUGUAGCGGUGAAAUGCGUGGAUAUCGAGAAGAACACUUAGGGCGUAGGCAAGACUCUGGACAAAUGCUGACGCUCAUGCACGAAGGCUAGGGUAGCGAACGGG